rnacentral:misc_RNA from 1 species
UAUGUAAAAGAUGUAGUGGGUCCAAACGUCCACUUCUUCUAGAUAGUUCAAAAGGGUGUUGAGUAAAAAUGAUGGUGGGUAUGGGAAAAGAAGAGAAAUUGAAUUAAAGAUGUAUGAGAAGUAGGAAAUGAUGAGGAAAGCACCAGAGAAAAGUACAAGAAUGAAUAUUAGAAGAUCAAGGGUAGCUGAAGGAGAGUGAUUACAGAAGUUGUGGUGUGAAGAAGGGCAAUUUGGGGAAUUUGUGGGGUUUGAAUUAGGGUUUGAGUUUGAGGUUUUUUUUAGGGGUUUGGUGAGGGAAG